rnacentral:rRNA from 1 species
GACGAACGCUGGCGGCGUGCCUAAUACAUGCAAGUCGAACGCACAGUUUAUACCGUAGCUUGCUACACCAUAGACUGUGAGUUGCGAACGGGUGAGUAACGCGUAGGUAACCUGCCUGGUAGCAGGGGAUAACUAUUGGAAACGAUAGCUAAUACCGCAUAAUAUUGAUUAUUGCAUGAUAAUUGAUUGAAAGAUGCUAUUGCAUCACUACCAGAUGGACCUGCGUUGUAUUAGCUAGUAGGUGAGGUAACGGCUCACCUAGGCGACGAUACAUAGCCGACCUGAGAGGGUGAUCGGCCACACUGGGACUGAGACACGGCCCAGACUCCUACGGGAGGCAGCAGUAGGGAAUCUUCGGCAAUGGACGAAAGUCUGACCGAGCAACGCCGCGUGAGUGAAGAAGGUUUUCGGAUCGUAAAGCUCUGUUGUAAGAGAAGAACGGGUGUGAGAGUGGAAAGUUCACACUGUGACGGUAUCUUACCAGAAAGGGACGGCUAACUACGUG